rnacentral:rRNA from 1 species
AUUGAACGCUGGCGGCAGGCCUAACACAUGCAAGUCGAACGGAAGCACAGUAAUAGCUUGCUCUUACAGGUGGCGAGUGGCGGACGAGUGAGGAGUACCUGGGAGUCUGCUUUUUCUUGCGGGCGAACGUGGGGAAAAUUACGCUAAUACCGCAGACGACCUACGGGUGAAAUCAUGGGAUCUUCGGACCUUGCGCGAUUGAAGGUGCCGAUGUCGGAUUAGCUAGUUGGCGGGGUAAAGGCCCACCAAGGCGAUGAUGCGUAGCUGGUCUGAGAGGAUGAUCAGCCACACUGGAACUGAGACACGGUCCAGACUCCUACGGGAGGCAGCAGUGGGGAAUAUUCGACAAUGGGCGAAAGCCUGAUCCAGCCAUACCGCGUGGGUGAAGAAGGUCUUCGGAUUGUAAAGCCCUUUUGUUGGGAAAGAAAAGCAGUAAGUUAAUACCUUGCUGUUUUGACGGUACCCAAAGAAUAAGCACCGGCUAACUUCGUG